rnacentral:rRNA from 1 species
GAGUUUGAUCAUGGCUCAGGACGAACGCUGGCGGCGUGCUUAACACAUGCAAGUCGAACGAUGAAGCCCUUCGGGGUGGAUUAGUGGCGAACGGGUGAGUAACACGUGGGCAAUCUGCCCUUCACUCUGGGACAAGCCCUGGAAACGGGGUCUAAUACCGGAUACCACUCCUGCCUGCAUGGGCGGGGGUUGAAAGCUCCGGCGGUGAAGGAUGAGCCCGCGGCCUAUCAGCUUGUUGGUGGGGUAAUGGCCCACCAAGGCGACGACGGGUAGCCGGCCUGAGAGGGCGACCGGCCACACUGGGACUGAGACACGGCCCAGACUCCUACGGGAGGCAGCAGUGGGGAAUAUUGCACAAUGGGCGAAAGCCUGAUGCAGCGACGCCGCGUGAGGGAUGACGGCCUUCGGGUUGUAAACCUCUUUCAGCAG